rnacentral:lncRNA from 1 species
AAGAUGGGAUGGAAUGGGAUGGAGAAAUGAGUUGAUUUGUUUAUUGAGAAAAUGCUCGACGUUGGAUCGAGUCUUUAUUUUUUGUAUUUUUGAAAUUUGUUGAUUUUAUUCUUGUGUUAGUAGCUAAUUAAACAACCAAACAAAUAAAGAAAUAAAAAGUACAAAAAUAUUACACAUUGGGGGAGUGGGAUACAUUUGUCAAAUGGGGAUUACACAAUCAUGAAAUAAAUAAAAUCGGGCCCAAACAAAUAAUGCAUGAGUGUAGGUGCAAGAGAACCGGCUCAUUGUAAGAAAGCCCAAGAGUAAGCUAUGUGAGGUUGAUGGCGAUGCUUAAAAAGCAAUCGACUUACAAGGGUGUGAAAAAGGGCUCGAUAUUAAAUCGAGAAAAGUAUGAUUUUUUCUUAAUGGUUUUGCAUGCAUGAUGGAUUUAAUAAAAAAACAUAGACAUAAAAAAAACUAUUUAAAGAAACAAAAUGCUAAAAGAUAAUAAAAUACUAAAAAAUGAAAUGCUAAAAAAGAAAUGAAAUACUAAAAAUGCUAUCUACGAGUAUUGAACCCACCCCUCUUGAGACUACAGCACUACCCUCUCUCCACUAGGCUAUUUAACAACUAACUGUUAUCUUAACACUAACCUAAAUAUAUAAACUAAAAUAAAUUAAAAAGAAGGAUUAAAAUAAAAACUAAAAUAGAAGAAAACCAUUGGUCUACUGUUAAUUAAACCCAGCCGCAUGGCUGUUGGGUUUACCAAGAGGAAUAGAUUGGAAAACUAAAACAUUUAUUAACUAACUAACCUAGGAAAAUUAAAGGAAAUUUUUUC